AAACGACAUAUAAAUCUUUUUUGGCUAUGAGAUCUACUGAUGAUUCAUUGAAGCCUAUAUACGUUUCAAUUGGUCAUCGUGUUUCACUCAACACUGCCAUCAAGAUUGUUAAAAUCACAUGCAAAUAUCGUGUUCCAGAACCUAUCCGACAGGCUGACAUUAGGUCAAGAGAAUACCUCCGGAAACUACAAAUGGGAACGUUAGAAAGAGCGACUUCAUGGUAAAGAGGGAUGGACGGACUCGGGAGAAAAAU
rnacentral:misc_RNA from 1 species